AGUGAACGCUGGCGGUAGGCCUAACACAUGCAAGUCGAACGGCAGCACAGUAAGAGUUUGCGCUUACGGGUGGCGAGUGGCGGACGGGUGAGGAAUACAUCGGAAUCUACUUUUUCGUGGGGGAUAACGUAGGGAAACUUACGCUAAUACCGCAGACGACCUACGGGUGAAAGCAGGGGAUCUUCGGACCUUGCGCGAUUGAAUGAGCCGAUGUCGGAUUAGCUAGUUGGCGGGGUAAAGGCCCACCAAGGCGACGAUCCGUAGCUGGUCUGAGAGGAUGAUCAGCCACACUGGAACUGAGACACGGUCCAGACUCCUACGGGAGGCACCAGUGGGGAAUAUUGGACAAUGGGCGCAAGCAUGAUCCAGCCAUACCGCGUGGGUGAAGAAGGCCUUCGGGUUGUAAAGCCCUUUUGUUGGGAAAGAAAAGCAGCAGGUUAAUACCCCGCUGUUCUGACGGUACCCAAAGAAUAAGCACCGGCUAACUUCGUG
rnacentral:rRNA from 1 species